rnacentral:rRNA from 1 species
AACAAGAGAGGUAAAAAUUUAUAGUUAGUUGAAAGUUAAUUGAAAUUUUAUUAUAAAUCUAAUUAGAUUAAAUUUUUAGGUGAAAUUUUAUUUUAUGAUGGUGUGGUUUUUAGAAUUAUGUAAUGAAGCUUAGAAAGUUAUAAUAAAAACUAGGAUUAGAUACCCUAUUAUUUUAAAGGUAAACGUUAGAUACUGGAGUAGUAGUAGAUAUAUUCUUAAAACUUAAAGAAUUUGGCGGUGUUUUAGUCCUGUCAGAGGAACUUGCCCCGUAAUCGAUAAUCCUCGUUUUACUUUACUUAAUUUAGUAAUUUCAGCUUGUAUACCGUCGUCAACAGGAAAUUUUUAGAAAAGAUUUUCAGGGAAUUUGAGUAAAUAGAAUGUCAGAUCAAGGUGCAGCUAAUAGUUAAGUGGAGGUGAGUUACAUUAUAAAAAUAUAAAUGGAUUGAAGGUUGAAAAAGUUCAUGAAGGUGGAUUUGGAAGUAAUAUAUUUAAGUAAAUGUAUGUGAUAGCGGCUCUAAAACAUGCACACAUCGCCCGUCGCUCUCAUUUUUAAGGUGAG